UACGGAGGGUGCGAGCGUUGUCCGGAAUCACUGGGCGUAAAGGGCGCGUAGGCGGCCUGAUAAGUAGGGGGUGAAAUCCUGCGGCUUAACCGCAGGGCUGCCUUCUAAACUGUCAGGCUAGAGCACAGUAGAGGCAGGUGGAAUUCCCGGUGUAGCGGUGGAAUGCGUAGAGAUCGGGAAGAACAUCAGUGGCGAUGGCGGCCUGCUGGGCUGUUGCUGACGCUGAGGCGCGACAGCGUGGGGAGCAAACAGG
rnacentral:rRNA from 1 species